UCCCAACAGUAAGUUAAGAAUUCCAGUUUCUGUCAUCCCUCAGUCCUGAUUAAACUUAUGUGAUUUCACAUGUUUUUAAUCCAUCAUAUGUUUGGGUUUCUUCUCCCCAGUCCCUGGCUCUACCUUUUCUCCCACAUGUCACCAUGGCAGUAUCUCUUGGCCCUUUAUCUGAUCCAAGGGUAGAAUUUACACUCACGGAAAUCAACCAGGAGCUUCAGUUGUAGCUGGCAAAGAACAAGCAGAACUUCCAAGACCUCCCAGAGAAAUUCCUUGUAUCCCAAGCUACUGCCUACUCCCUGGCCAACCAGCUGCAGAAAUACAGUUAAGUCCUAGGGGUCGUGGUCACCAAAGUGAUGAAUGGUCACUGUCUUCCCUCUGAGAAACAAAAACUCUCCAGACUUUGUCUCCUAAUCCCUUUGUCAUUUUGAAUUUCAUUCUGACCACAAUCCAGGAAAGGUGGAAGUGGCUAUUUUACCCUCAGUUCCCUGAGGAUGGGAAAACCCAGGCACAAAGAGUUGAGCCACUUUUCCAGGUUUGCGGUGAGUUGUAGGGUGAGAUUAGAGUUAAAAUCCCAGAUAUUGAUUCUUGGUUCAGGCACUGAACUGCCUGUUUCUCUCAGGAACAAAGCUAAACUGUGUCAAUUGGAAUCUGUUCUGUUCUGUAUCUGAUCCUGCAUCAGAUGUUGGCUAAACGACUGGAAAUUGGAUGGAGUUCAUCAGUCCAAGUUUCCCUGAGGUCCCAUUGGCAAAGCCCUGUGCUAGCUACACUGGGCUGACGUGGUGGUUACACAUGGGAUAGCAGGGGAUAGUACCUGCUCAAAAGGAGCUUAAGGGUGAGACUGCCCCUCACUGAAACCAUGGCUACCUGUUUGAGUCGUAAUGAAUAAUGAGUCACUUCUGACAAAGCUCUGACAGUAGUCCCUGGCACAGUGUAACACAGUAAGUUCAAGUUCUACUAUGUCUAAUAACACAAACUUUCAUAGUAUUUGGGCACAUUGUUUUCCAGGUCCUUAUGGUUUCAUGUAUUCUCUUUCACACAAGUGUAUCCAGGUGAGUUUUUUACCUUUGAGAUACUUGUUCAUUACUGAAAUCCCAGCACAAGGGAACCAUCCGUCCUAUGGUCCUAGGGGGUCUUCCCAACCACACAGGAAUCACCAGGAAUGCCCCUGCUCAGCGUUUCACCUAAGAGGCUGCAAAUAUUGGUAAGUGGCCCAGGAUUCAGUGUCAGUUUGCCAAACACCAGUUCUUCUUGUCUAGUUACUUUCUGUGCCUUGGAGCUUCUGUUUCCUCAGCUCUAAAACAGGGAGUAACCGAAUGCCAUGCAGGUGGGAGGCUGAGGAAUCAGAUGUGGAAAUCCCUGCGUGGAGCCUGGCACCGAGGUUACAUCUGUCCCCGGGAUGGACCCUGCCUCCUCCCUUGAAGGCGGUGACCGCAGCAGCCUGUCCAGCUUUCCCCUGAGGCAGCGUCUCUGUUUCCCCAGAGUGUGAAGCAUUUAAGGACAUCACUGAAUCUGUGCUGGGGGAGAAGCUGCUGUUUGAGGCGCUGAGGCUAGCAGAGAAGCUGGCAGAGAAGCCCACGCAAGCUGAGAGGUGAGCAGCACCUCAAGGACUUCCUCAUCCACGACGACCUUGACAACCACCAGGGGCAGGGCUUCCAAGAGCGGCUGAUGGAGGGACACAGGCUGGCAGAGCACCUUGCCCACAAGCUCAGCCCAGGAAUUCAUGAAGAUGAGGAGGAUGAACAAGCACAAGAGACACUCACACCCAGGUACCAUACUGGGAUGGUUGAGUCUCACGCCUCAUCAGACGUUGUGUGGCCAGUGCACGGAGCACCUGCUGGCCUCCCUCUCCUGCCCCGUGGCAGCCACACUCCACUUCACAUACGGGAGGAUAGUUCCUUCCCUCUUUAGGGGACUGCCCUUUUGGUUUCUCUGACACUCCCGAUGCCUCCCAUCAAAACCAGCCAGGGCAGCUUGGGGUCGGAUCCCCUUCGUUUAAUUUUCUGUCAUCCCUCUCCCACCUGGCACAGUGUGGAGCUGCAGGAGGUUGAAAAGAAGGAAGUGCCUCAGGAAUCCCAGGAUGAAUGUGUUUUGACUCCUUCAAUUCUCCAAGGAAGUUCUGACUGCAACCAGCCUUACAGUGAUGGCAAAUUUGCAUUUGAUGAAUCAGAAGUGGGCCCUGCUCCGGAUGGAGCCUGUGGUUGCUCCCAUGCUAAAGAGGAUGAAAUUCCAACCGAUCUCCCAGGUAGCCUCCAUAUUCUUUGUUCCCCACACCUGUGUAGACUGAGGAAGGUCAUCUCUGAAGAUAGUCCCUAUAGACACAUCUUGGUUAAAUCAGGGAAAAGGAUCUAUUAUGAAACACAGACAUCAGGUGGCUCAGGGAGCCUUUAUCCCUUUCUAGGCCCCAGUCAUGCCUUUGUCACCCUGGCACCAGUGUCAGGCAUUUGGACCCAAAUCAGGUGUGACAAACUCUCAUCCACCUUGGGUGGAAAUCCACAGGAGGUGUUUGUCAGACCUAGUUUGGAUCAAAUGUGUCUUGUCACCUGCAAUGAUCUAAUUUUUGUUUUUUUGUACAAUGUCCCUGGCCUUUCUCUCCCUAUCCAGACACAGUGGCAGACUUGCAUAUACAUUAGGAGAGGUUGUUUCCCUGCUCUCAGUCCCAGUCUCCAUCUUCUCUAUGUUGGCUUCUGUUAACUAAGCAGUCAUCCGAAAACCAGGACAGACACAGCUGUACCACUGCCUUGUUUGGAUGUUUCCAUGAAGCAAGGCUGGGCUCUGGCAGUCCCUUCAGCCUUGAAUGGCCAUGGUUUCUGUGUCGCACCAAAGAUUCUUUUUGGUUUGAGGGUUUAUACAAUUCAUCCAUCACUCUAGUCUCAAGUAUAAAUUCCUCUAAACCAUCAGCAACCACAUAAUCUGAUGGGACUAACCAAUAUUGUAGAAACAAUUCUAGAAAAUAACUCAGCUCAUUUUCUAGGAUCACUGGGGAAAAUAUAUUAUGAACUAUUUAUACAGGAUCAGAACAAAGGAUAUUGGGAGAGCGCUCUACCAGAUCAAUAAGAGAAUUUCCCUGAUGGGUCUGGGGUCCAGUCUAAUUCUAAGACUUAAGUGUCCUGGAAUGUCUCUGCUAAUGUAUUAUGUUCUUGCACUGAGAAUAUUAAUGUCCUUGUGGUGUGUUCACUGAGUAGGUAUGUGUGAGGCGUGAUUUGCUUAUUGUGACCCACUGUCUCUGAAUUUCUUACUAGACAAUCAAAAUGAUCAUAAGCAAGUGGAUGGACAAGAGCCAAUGUCCAUACUUUCUUUUUGGUGGUAGAAUCUACAGCAGUGCUGUAAUGUAAUAAAAAUGCAAGCCACAUAUGUAAUUAAAAUUUUUCUAGUAGCCACAAUGAAAAGUAAAAAGUAUAAGCAGACAAUAAUACAAAUAUAAUCUUCUACAUAGCUAAUUAAUGCUACACAUUAAAGGAAAUAUAAUUCCAGCAAAGUUUUAAAGUUGUGUUUAAUAGAAAAAUAUUGUGCAUGUCUUCAGCUUUUAAGUUUACAUUCACAUGAAUUAUAAAUUAAAUAUAAUUAAAAUCCACUUCCUCAGUCCUACUAGCCACAUUCUAAGUGUUCAACAGCCAUAUGUGUCUAGUGGCCCCUAUUUUGGACCUGGCAGAUACAGAGACUGAUGAGAUUCACAUUUGCUGUCUUGGCAAGACUACCUCAGAAGUGGUGUGUGCUCUCUGAUCAGGAGGCACAUCAAGUCCUGUGUGUCUCUUCUAAUAAUACUAGCAGCCCUCGGAGUUCAAGGCCUAGAUCCAUUAACUGAUUAUGUGGAGUAAAAUGGUGAUAUUCCAUGGUCAUGUAUUAGUUAACUGGAACACUUGUAUAAAAAGAAACUUCCCUUAAAUACUAAAUACUGUUUAGUUACUUAGUGGUACCCUCUGUAAAGUAAACUGCAGCUUAAUGAGCAAUUCCCCAAGCAUCCUCUGUGGUCACCAGUUAGUUUCUUUUAUUUCUUUUUUUUUUUUUUUUCCCCUGUGCUAAUAUGAAUUCAGAGUUUCAAACACAUUGAAGUAUUUCAAUUCAUUGCAAUAUAGUCUUUACUGAUACUCCAAUUAUCCUCUCCUUCAGCAGUGAAAGUGACUUUAAGCUGGCUCCUUCAUCCUUUUGAUAAGAUUCUAAUAGUCUUUGAGACCUUUCUUGAUAUCAAUAUGACAAGGUGGUUCUGUCUCAUCCUGAAUAUUUUCUGCCCCUGACCUGGACUCAGUCAUUUCUCUAAGAAUCUCUGGUUUCUUUUUAUGCAAAACGUUAUUCCCAAAUCAAAUUGUGUAACCUAAAGAUACUCAUUGGAAUUGGUUUCUUUCUAGGCCUUUCCAGUGGACAGAGCUAGGAAAUACAUACUCAUAUUUGUAUGUAUGUAUUCACAUAUAUUCACAUUCAUAAUUCAAAUUCAGAACUACAGGCUUUUUAUUGAACGUCUUUCAUCUGAAACUCUUUUCUCUAAUACCAGUUAUUUUUGUCUUUAAGGACACUGGGAGUAAUAGAAAUACAAUAUCUUUUACAGUCUCCUUUGCUUCUUCCCGCAUUAUAUAGACAAAAGAAUAAAGAAAUACCAACAAUGCCAAUAAUAACACAAUUGAGGAAAGCAGUUUUUAAAAUUUUGUCACGGUCCUGGGGUAUAUAUAUUGUGUUUUAUGGUCUCUUCGGAGAGUUCUUAUCCAAUAUGGUUGUUCCACAAAAGACAUACACAGGUUCAUUUGUUACGUUGUGUUUUUCAAUGUCUAGAGGUGACAUUUAUAAAUUUACUUAUUUAUUA